rnacentral:rRNA from 1 species
AAGAGUUUGAUCCUGGCUCAGGAUUAACGCUGGCGGCGUGCCUAAUACAUGCAAGUCGAACGGAAACCUUCGGGUUUUAGUGGCGAACGGGUGAGUAACACGUAAGCAACCUACCCUAAAGACGAGGAUAACCAUUGGAAACAGUGGCUAAGACUGGAUAGGAAGAAAUAAGGCAUCUUUUUUCUUUUAAAAGACCUAGUGAUAGGUAUACUUUAGGAGGGGCUUGCGCCAUAUUAGUUAGUUGGUAGGGUAAUGGCCUACCAAGACGAUGAUGUGUAGCUGGACUGAGAGGUUGAACAGCCACAUUGGGACUGAGACACGGCCCAAACUCCUACGGGAGGCAGCAGUAGGGAAUUUUCGGCAAUGGAGGAAACUCUGACCGAGCAACGCCGCGUGAACGACGAAGUACUUUGGUAUGUAAAGUUCUUUUAUCAAGGAAGAAAAGCAAGUGGUGAACCAUUUGUUUGCCGGUACUUGAUGAAUAAGCCCCGGCUAAUUAUGUGCCAGCAGCCGCGGUAAGACAUAAGGGGCAAGUGUUAUCCGGAAUUAUUGGGCGUAAAGGGUGCGUAGGCGGUCUAGUAAGUCAGUGGUGUAAUGGCAACGCUCAACGUUGUCCGGCUAUUGAAACUGCUAAACUUGAGUUAGAUAGAGGCGAGUGGAAUUCCAUGUGUAGCGGUAAAAUGCGUAAAUAUAUGGAGGAACACCAGAGGCGUAGGCGGCUCGCUGGGUCUUAACUGACGCUGAGGCACGAAAGCGUGGGGAGCAAACAGGAUUAGAYACCCUGGUAGUCCACGCCGUAAACGAUGAGUACUAAGUGUCGGGUUAAACCGGUACUGAAGUUAACACAUUAAGUACUCCGCCUGAGUAGUACGUACGCAAGUAUGAAACUUAAAGGAAUUGACGGGACUCCGCACAAGCGGUGGAUCAUGUUGUUUAAUUCGAAGAUACCCGAAAAACCUUACCAGGUCUUGACAUGUUUUUGCGAAACGGUAGUAAUAUCGUGGAGGUUAUCAGAAACACAGGUGGUGCAUGGUUGUCGUCAGCUCGUGUCGUGAGAUGUUAGGUUAAGUCCUAAAACGAGCGAAACCCUUAUCGUUAGUUGCCAGCACGUUAUGGUGGGGACUUUAACGAGACUGCCAGUGAUAAAUUGGAGGAAGGUGAGGAUCACGUCAAAUCAGCAUGCCCCUUAUGACCUGGGCUACAAACGUGAUACAAUGGCUGUUACAAAGGGUAGCUGAAACGCAAGUUCUUGGCCAAUCCCCAAAAACAGUCUCAGUCCGGAUUGAAGUCUGCAACUCGACUUCAUGAAGUUGGAAUCGCUAGUAAUCGCGAAUCAGCAUGUCGCGGUGAAUACGUUCUCGGGGUUUGUACACACCGCCCGUCAAACCACGAAAGUUGGCAAUACCCCAAAACGGUAGCCUAACUCGUUUAUCGAGAGGGCGCUGUCUAAGGUAGGGUCGAUGAUUGGGGUUAAGUCGUAACAAGGUAUCCCUACCGGAAGGUGGGGAUGGAUCACCUCCUU